CACACAUAUACACACACAUUUAUAUGAUCUUUUUCCUUUUCUCUAUCUUAGUAAAUAGUUCUAGCUCAAUCCAUGAGUUCUACUUAGUUAGUGAUUCUCUCCUCUAUCUCACUGGGAAGAGUUGGAGUGAGCAAAUGGCUCAUGGUGGUGCUGAGCCACCUUCCAGGUUAAACCACAACACUUAGAUUUUCAGCAUCACUCUUCCAGAUAGGGGUUCUCCAGGAAUCCUAACUUUUUGCUAGUUAAAAUGAUCUCAGAAGAGAAAAACAGCUAACAGACCAAAUACAAAGAGGAAAUGCUAGCAGUGCAUUACAAUCAAAAGAAAAAAUGACAGAGCUGGUUGGGCCAUUGAUUUCUUCUGUACUGAUCAUAAAUUGUAAGUAAGCAGACUACUGUAGAGAUGCUAAACAAAGCAUGUAAGAUUAUUUAAAAUUUAGAAGACCUGUAAUAGCAAUGAGGAAAUGAACGCGACAGAAAGGAACCUUGAAAGGUCAGCAAGCAGAUUAAAUGUUGAAACAGUACAGACCAGUUCAUCUAACAAAACACUGACCAAGGCAUAAAGUGCAACAUGAGAAGUGGGAGCACAUUCCGGCAAACGAAUGACCCCGGUGUAUUUCUCAUGCAGAAAACCUACGAAGUGGCUGGUGUAGCUCAGUUGAUCAAAUGGCCCUGUACCUCAGGGCAAGCCUGCACAGAUAGCACAGGGGUAAAUCCUCACAGUACCUGCAGUCACUAGUGCAUAUAGAAGAAAGACAACAGUGCAGAUUGCCUUCCGCUCUGUGUUUCAUAUUGCUCUCCCUUUCUCCUUCAGAUCACAAUUUUUUUAUUUAAAGCACAAUUUUUUUACGGGGAUCAGAUUCAAAAUGAGAGAUAUUUUGAUGUGAUAACUCUGUAGAAAGAAAGUGGAGUUUCACUGCUGUGAACAGUUGUAGAAUGAAGGGAGUGUGUCCACAUUCCAUUUUAUUACCUGCUUCUUUGUUUUCCCUUCCCAGUGGGCACAGAGAGCGUUUGCUUAUACAUGUGUGCCCAAACAGAUUCAGGAUCCAUAGCUGAGGGAGAAUUUAAGCCCUUCAAAAUCACUGGAAGAACCUGCUGAGUUAAUUUUUAGCGUAGUCAGUUUUGCAGUUUGGAGUUGGCUGGACUUCUGAUAUAUUGCUGGGGUUUCAUGGUUACUGGCAAAGUGACCAGAGAAGUAUUUCACAGAGUCAUCUAAAGGAGAAAAGAAAACAUCCUAACAGAAGACAUUCCAGCAGAUGACUUAACUUUUAAAAAUCCAUUUUGAAAUUUGUGUAUAUAACUCUACAUUGUACACAAAAUUGUAGCAGAAAACCCGCUUCUAAUUUCUCUUUUCCUACAUCAUAAGUAUAUUGCCCAGUAAAGAUAUGUUCAAAUACAUUUUGUAAGAGAUAAUAUAAACCUAAGAGUAUAAGGAGUGACGAACACUUGUUCUCAAAAAAUGGUGUAACAGAUUUGAUGCUAAUUCGUAGUUCACUGUCUGACUAGUCCAUGUAAUGUCUCAUUUAAAGCCCUGUGAUGUUUUGCUAAUAGGAUUCUUUUCAUUGAGCUCUGUAUAAGUAUGUCUGUAUAACCUUGUUAUUAGUCACUUAAUUAACCAUUAAUUAAAUUAAUACAUAGUGUUUAAAAUCUGCAUCUUGCUAGUAUACAAUAGGACAGCUUUUGAAUAUAAUAGCAACUUACGUUGAAAUAUUUUCUUGUAUUUUUUAAGAGUGUGAGCACACUUCCUAGACUCAAAAUACUCAGACUUACUGGCUCCCACAGAAAAAAAAAAAAAAAAAAAAGAAAGAAUAAAAUUAUUCAAAUAGCAAAGCUGCAAAACUACAGUUCAAAGGGUGAAACUUUUCCAAAGUGAUCCAGUAAUAAUAAAUGUAAAUUUUGCAAUGACCACUUGGUGUCAUCUAGUCAGAGCUAGUUUGUUAGAUUCUUGUUCUAGGCUUGGUUUUAGUGUUAAGAAAAAGGCAUUUAAUCUUGAUUAUCUGAGAGCUCAGGGCCCAGUGUUAGCUCCUAUUCUCUGUAGGUGAGAUCCUCAGAGGCGGUAUUGCGCAGUCAUUGGAAGACCACCAACCUAACAAUUGCAGUCUCUCUUAGGAAGGCUGCUCUGAGGGCAGACCAUAGUGUACUACUUGAGUCUUUUUUGCCCUGAUUGCACAGUUGUUUUGCUGCCAGCACCUGUGGUGAGCAGAAAAGGUGAUUACAUCUUGCUCAGUCUAUCUGAGGUCAAAACCUAGGGUUCAGUAAGUGGUAGACAGAACUAUCAGGUGGCAACAGAGGAACCCUUAGGAGCUCCUGUGAAAAUCUGGCGUCAGCUCAGAGCAGCUCCACUCACUCAGCUGCAUGAGCAGGCAACUACUUUGCCGGUUUGCCAGUGAGAGGAAAACGCUCAGCCCUUGAAUGAGACAAACAACUCCAGGUCUCCUGGGGGGAAGCACAUUUUUCAAGAACUCCUUGUGAGGUGAAACACUUGGAAUAUUUUUUCCUUUGUGAAGGGCCUCCUCUGUUCUGCUCCCCAGUUGGGCGACCCCGCAGAGAGUUACACCCAGCAAAUGGGUAAUUGCUUGGAACUUGGAACUGAGGCUUGGAAAAUCUUUUUGUGUUUAAAUCUGUACCUAAUCAAACGUCUACUCGCUCUGUGAGGAGAGAGCAUAGAGCAGAGCAGGAGAAUAUUUCACAAAGAUAAGGUUUUGAUUUGAUGGCUUUGCUGACCACUUGCACUCGGUUUGCCAGGAGACUUGUGUAGGGAGAGGAUGUUUUUGUAAGGGUUUUAUUUGUUUCAUGUAUCAGUUUGCUGUAUUAAAUGUUUAUGAUGGUUACCUUUGCUGCUUAUAGACUAAAGAAUCUGAUUGUGUUUGGUGCUGUUUACCACAAAAAGUGUAAUACUGGGAGCAUAACGGAACUGUGAAAAAACAGAGGUAGAAAUAAGGACAAUUAGUAAAAUGCAACAAAUAUGCAGUUGGUUACUUACCAAAAAGAAAAUAGUCAUAGUUUGUCAGCACUGUGAUGAUCUAGUUAUCCAAAGAUCAGACUAUUGCAAAUUGAUGUUGACAAACUGGGGGGAAUUCACAUAAAAGAACUCAAACCACUGUUGGACUUUAAGGACUGGUUUAUGGGAAAGAUUAAAACAGCUAGAUAAAGCCUGUCUGUCUAGGUACUUGCAUAACAGUAAUGAAUGUGAUGCAUUGUGCUGCGUGGUGAAGGACUUGGUGGAAGCCGAGGGAAUCCAGUGACCACUUACAAAGUUGUAGGCUGCAAGCACGAAGAAAGGAAAAAAAGUGGAUGAGGAUUGCUGAAGGAGCACAAGUGCUAAGAUGAAAAGGAGGAAAGCUCAUGCCAAACACUAGGAAAUAUUACCUCCUGUGAGAACUGUUAGUCUGUGGUCAGAAGUUAUACAAAACCCCUCAGUUGAGUCAUUUAAACUGAAUUGUAAAAAACACUCUAGAAAAUAUGCUGUAUUGGCACAGGGUGAGCUUAGAUCGGGAACAACCAGUCUACCCCCUGGUUUCCUUUUUCCCAAGGGCCAUUUACAGCUAGCAUGGUAGAUAUUAUUUGACUUAGCAAGAAGCAGAAUGCAUAUGGCUGGAGGCAAAGAAGGAAAAUUCAAUGCAUGGAUUUUGUGCAUGGUGAGAGCUCAAUGGCUUCUCUGUGCAGAUGCAGUAGCCCCACGGGCAUGACAUGUGGCACAGACAGGCAGGAACUAAGCUUGAUACAAGCUUUUUAUCAACUCUGAUCUGAUCUGCCCUACAUCACUGUUCAUUCUGUGUGAAGAGGAGCUGCUAGAAGACACAGUGAAUACAGAGGGCUGUCCAAUCACUCCUGUUGAUCCUGUGUUCACGUUUCGUGGUCAGUUGUGUCUGUGCAAGGGAAGAGACAGGCAGCAGGCUCGCCAAGACAUGGCUCCUCACUGCUCUGAUGUGCAUCACCUCUCUCUCCUGCCUCCACAGGUUUCCCACAUUUUUGGCCAAGGAGAAAAACAGUUGAGACUGUCACUGUGAGCAUGUUUCCUUCCUGUCUUGUAUUGGUAAGGCAGGAGUUACAGGGAUUUGGGGGGAAGCUCUACAGCAGCUGGAGAGUCUGGGAAAAAAAGAAGCAUUGCUCUGUUGAGAGCCUCAGGACAAAGGUGCGAAGUGAAAAAAUUAUCUGGUGUGUAGAAAAUGCUAAGUCUACUUACUCACCCUGCUGAGGUCAGGGUCUUGGUGGUGCUCAUCAUGCACACUCCAUUGCUCCUGUUUGCUUCUCCAGGAGACUGCUCCCUGUGGCUUUACCCCAGCACGGUCACCACAGCAUUGACCUGGCCAAGGAAAUUUAAGAACAGUUUCUAUAAUAAAUGCCAUCUUUAUUUUGAGGGAAAAUGUUAUUAAGCCUCAAUCCUCAAUCCAUAUUUGCUGGAGAAUUUUAUUUUUCAUUUCAUUUACAAAGGCCACCUCAGAGUAUGCUUUGAAGGGAAUGAGCAUGGGUACUUAUUUCCCGAUAGUACUUAUUGCUCCAUCACAGCAAAAUGAUCCCAAAGGCAUAAAUAAUUAAUUGUUUAAGCACUUCGUGGGUUUCAAUGUGUUUUUUAUUCACAGUACUCCUUUGAGCUGCAGAAAUGCUUUAUCUGAUUAAAGAUGUUAUUUGUAUUGUUCUGAUGGGCAUGGAAUGGGCUAAGCCUGGUCUGAAGUGAAAAGUGGAGGGACUGAAGCUGUCCUGCAGAGAGAAAGGGGAGAAGGAGAGGAUAAACCUGAGGAAGAGAGAUAGGGGAGAGUUGUGCCUUCUGCUCAUGCUAGUGGGUGCUCACCUGGUGAAAAAAGGGAGAACCAGCAGCAACUGGUCAAGUAAGGUCAGGUGGCAAACCCGGCUUCUCAAGCCUGUGCCACCAGUGGAGCAGACCACAGGGCUGCUGUUGACAACUGUUGACAUCCAAUCCCAGCCCUGUGCUAAGCCAGACCUUUGAAAAAAUAGCCAGACUUAUCUCUUUCUUUCAAAAUCUACCUAGGGAUGCACUGUUUGUUUAUUACAUGCCUCAAAAAUGUGAUGGAUGUGAACAGAUUCUGUUGAAUUCAUGGUCUUCUGGGAUGACAAUAAGAAAAAGAAAAAAAAAAGUGCACCUGCAGUUUCUUAUCUUCAUACUCUUUUCAUGGAAAGUAUCCUGCACAAAACCUGCUGCCAGCCCAUGACGUUCUGAUGUGGAGACAAAAAGAUUUUUGGAUUAAUGACAUACAACCUCAUGCCCAGUGAAUGCAACCAGCCUUCCCCAGCAGGGGAAGCCAGACUCAGCUGGAGACUUUCUACUCAUACGAGUGUGUGGGCUGCAAAACAGCAGGAUGCUCUUCAAAGGAUGUCCUCCAAAAGUGCCUUUGGUCUCCAUACCUGAAGCAUGUUAAAUUUUGGCUAAAUUGCAAAGCAUCUUCCUUUCUUUGUCAGUCUUAAAGUCCUGGUAGCAGAAAGUGGACUUGGCUCCUUUUAAACUGCAGUGGGGUGUAUAAUCUGCUUGAUAAAGCAUCCUUAGCAGAAUAAGAUAGGUAAUCUUUUCUGGAGGAAAAAUGGGGUAAAAGCUCCAGUGAAUAAAUACAAGAUUGUUUUCAACACUCUCCUCCUGGACUCCUGCUGUUGAGUGACUGCAAAAUUCAGAGAGAUUAUUUUGGCAGUUCCAAAAAUCUGUCACACAGAUUGGAGUUUUUUUUUCCCUUGCAUUUGUCAAUGUGUGACUAAGCACAAGUAUUACAGGAAGCAUGGAAAUGUUUGGGCUUUAAAGAAUGGUUGUGGAAAAAGACCUCCUACUGGUUUAACAACUGCUGUUUAAUAAAAUAAUUUUCGGAUGUCCAAAUUGCUGAUUGUUCCGCUGAGGGUUACGUUCUGACCAGAAGGGAUCCCACCAGUCCCAUGUCAUCAGCCUGGGCACUUUGUGAAGUUUUCUGCAGCCAUUUCCUGCUUCAAAACAAUGAAGGAUGAGAGAUGCUCAUCGUUACUCCCUAUGGUGCAGGGAUGUGUUCAUCUCAGUCUCUAGGAUGGCAUCAAAAUCUGAGGAGAAGGAGUCAAAACAGUUUCACUGAGGCAGCCAGCAGAUGCCAGGAAGUGUUGCUUAUUGACAUUAAUCAUUACUCUGUUGAUAGCCCUGGGCGUGCUGCUGUAAUUGACCAGAACCAAAUCCAGUAAUCAUAUCAUGGAAAAUAUACAUCACAUUUAUUUCACAUCUGAAUUACAGUAAUAUGAAUUCAUGGCAAAAUUCUCAGUGACUACGUCAGAAGCAGGAGGAGAGCCUUUGUCUGCUAGCACAGAUGUAACUAAGCUGUUAAGCACAGUCUGAUGUGCUUAGGCAGGAGGCUGAGGCUACAUCAAGAAGUUAUAAAAUUAUCCUCCAGGAUCUUGUAGCCUAAAUCCUAUUCAGAUGAAUAUAGAGAAGUCUCUGUAGUUUGUAGUGUUUGUAGAACUGUGUUUUCCAAUUGUGUUUUCUGUUGUUUUCUUUGAGCAUUACCCUUCAAUAGAUGGGGCUGCUACAAUCUCUUCAAAGAAUAUAAAUACUCUAUUAAGAAUGUGUAAAAAGGCCUUCCAAUAAGACAGUUGAAGAAGCAUUUCUUUUUACAAAAUUAUCUACAGAAAAUGAUGAGAACAAACAAACAACAGCUGAACAGUAAAGCAUCAAGAAGAAACACAUCUGAGGUUUAAUUUGAUCACUUUAUGCCUGGGAAACAGAAUGAGGAGUUAGUUAUUGAGCAAUAUUUGUAUCACAUUGACUAUUGUGUUAAUGAAUUCAAUUUUUAUUAAAUAGCAUCAACAUGUUAGAUAUUAC